rnacentral:rRNA from 1 species
GACGAACGCUGGCGGCGUGCUUAACACAUGCAAGUCGAACGGACAGACAGAGAGCUUGCUCUCUUGAAGUUAGUGGCGAACGGGUGAGUAACGCGUAAUCAACCCGCCCUUCAGAGGGGGAUAACAACGGGAAACCGUUGCUAAUACCGCGUACGAUUCAUGAACGGCAUCGUUUAUGAAUGAAAGGUGGCCUCUAUGUAUAAGCUAUCGCUGAAGGAGGGGAUUGCGUCUGAUUAGCUGGUUGGAGGGGUAACGGCCCGCCAAGGCAAUGAUAAGUAGCCGGUCUGAGAGGAUGAACGGCCACAUUAGGACUGAGACACGGCCCAAACGCCUACGGGAGGCAGCAGUGGGGAAUCUUCCGCAAUGGACGAAAGUCUGACGGAGCAACGCCGCGUGAGUGAUGAAGGUCUUCGGAUUGUAAAGCUCUGUUAAUCGGGACGAAAGAGUUCUGCGUGAAUAAUGCAGAAAAGUGACGGUACCGGAAUAGAAAGCCACGGCUAACUACGUGCCAGCCGCCGCCGUAA